rnacentral:rRNA from 1 species
CGUAGGUGAACCUGCGGAAGGAUCAUUGUCGAAACCUGCGCCGAGCAGAACGACCCGAGAACCGAUUCUACCACAUCGGGGGGGUAGCGGGGGCCUCGCGGCGCCCCGUCCCCUCGUGCUCGGGAGGUCCCGGCCGCGCGCGCGUUCGCUCUUCUGCUGCGGGCGCCCGGCCGUCCUCUCCGUGCGUACAAACCAACGCCGGCGCGAGCAGCGCCAAGGAAAUUGAAACGGAGCGGCGCGCCCCCUUUGUUCGCAUCGGGCGGCGUCGUCGCCUUCGAUACUAUGUCAAAACGACUCUCGGCAACGGAUAUCUCGGCUCUCGCAUCGAUGAAGAACGUAGCGAAAUGCGAUACUUGGUGUGAAUUGCAGAAUCCCGUGAACCAUCGAGUCUUUGAACGCAAGUUGCGCCCGAAGCCGUCAGGCCGAGGGCACGCCUGCCUGGGCGUCACACGCCGUUGCCCCCCUCGCUCGCGCCUCCCUCGGAGGUCGCCGCGGCGGGGGCGGAUGGUGGCCUCCCGUGCGCUCCGCCGCGCGGUUGGCUCAAACGCCGAGUCCCCGGCGACGCCCGCCACGACGAUCGGUGGUUGAGAGACCUUUCCGUCGCCAGUCGUGCGCGGGCGCCGCAUCGCGAGGGCUCGCUUGCCUAGGCGCUUCGCUCCGGCGAUCGCCUUCAACGCGACCCCAGGUCAGGCGGGGUUACCCGCUGAAUUUA